CUCUCUCACACACACACAUAAAAUGGCAAGUGCAUAGCCAGGAACAUAUAAAAAUGGAUGUUCCAGUGACAUUCAUACACUGUCAGCUUGCUUACUGAGUAACUAAAGAAAUCUAAAGAGGGAAAAAAAAAAAAUAAUAAUUCAUUUUUGGAAACUAUAAAAUGCAAAUUCUGCUCAUUGUUAUUUUCUGUCACCUGCAAGUUUCCCAUUAACAAAAACAUGAAG
rnacentral:misc_RNA from 1 species